GCCUCUUUAGCUCAGACGGUAGAGCGCCAGCCUUUUAAGCUGGUGGUCAGGGGUUUGAGCCCCUUAGGAGGCU
rnacentral:tRNA from 1 species